UACGUAGGGUGCAAGCGUUGUCCGGAAUUAUUGGGCGUAAAGAGCUCGUAGGCGGUUUGUCGCGUCUGCCGUGAAAGUCCGGGGCUCAACUCCGGAUCUGCGGUGGGUACGGGCAGACUAGAGUGAUGUAGGGGAGACUGGAAUUCCUGGUGUAGCGGUGAAAUGCGCAGAUAUCAGGAGGAACACCGGUGGCGAAGGCGGCUCUCUGGGACGGUACUGACGCUGAGACGCGAAAGCGUGGGGAGCGAACAGG
rnacentral:rRNA from 1 species